UCGCAUCCGCCAUCCGGUUCAGCCGUGUCGCGGAAGGUUUUUCAACCAGCCCAAGCCUCCUCCAGGGAGGCGGAGAGUAGCG
rfam:Ramlibacter tataouinensis strain 5-10, complete genome.